rfam:Oryza rufipogon genomic scaffold, chr08
AAAAAAACAAACCCUGGUUUCUGUGUCCAACGUACGUCUGUCUUAUUUGAAAAAAUUAUGAAAAAAAUUAAAAAGAUAAGUCACGCAUAAAGUAUUAAUCAUAUUUUAUCAUCUAACAACAAUAAAAAUACUAAUUAUAAAAAAUUUUCAUAUAAGACGAAUAGUCAAACAUUGGCACGACAAUCCACGGUUUGCCUUUUU